AUUUCAUCUGAUAAAUAAAGUAAUCGUAAUGAAGGUAAACCAAUAAAUAAGAAAAUAAUAG
rnacentral:sRNA from 1 species